rnacentral:rRNA from 1 species
GAUGUACGCUGGCGGCGUGCCUAAUACAUGCAAGUCGAGCGAACAGACGAGGAGCUUGCUCCUCUGACGUUAGCGGCGGACGGGUGAGUAACACGUGGAUAACCUACCUAUAAGACUGUGAUAACUUCGGGAAACCGGAGCUAAUACCGGAUAAUAUAUUGAACCGCAUGGUUCAAUAGUGAAAGACGGUUUUGCUGUCACUUAUAGAUGGAUCCGCGCCGCAUUAGCUAGUUGGUAAGGUAACGGCUUACCAAGGCAACGAUGCGUAGCCGACCUGAGAGGGUGAUCGGCCACACUGGAACUGAGACACGGUCCAGACUCCUACGGGAGGCAGCAGUAGGGAAUCUUCCGCAAUGGGCGAAAGCUUGACGGAGCAACGCCGCGUGAGUGAUGAAGGUCUUCGGAUCGUAAAACUCUGUUAUUAGGGAAGAACAAAUGUGUAAGUAACUAUGCACGUCUUGACGGUACCUAAUCAGAAAGCCACGGCUACUACGUG